rnacentral:rRNA from 1 species
CAGUCGCCGGCGGGAAUACAGAGGGUGCGAGCGUUAAUCGGAUUUACUGGGCGUAAAGCGUGCGUAGGCGGCUUCUUAAGUCGGAUGUGAAAUCCCUGAGCUUAACUUAGGAAUUGCAUUCGAUACUGGGAAGCUAGAGUAUGGGAGAGGAUGGUAGAAUUCCAGGUGUAGCGGUGAAAUGCGUAGAGAUCUGGAGGAAUACCGAUGGCGAAGGCAGCCAUCUGGCCUAAUACUGACGCUGAGGUACGAAAGCAUGGGGAGCAAACAGGAUUAGAGACCCCAGUAGUCCCUGUCUCUUAUA